GAGACAGCAGACAGCAGUUAAUCAGCUGUUUUAUACGCCUCCUCCACCUCCAUCAGCCCAUCUCAAGAACGAGAAGAGAAGCGGUUAAACCUCUGGCGCUGUUAAAUCCACGUCUUAUAAUCAGCCACAGAGGAAGAGGAACUGUUGAAAGCUGUAACAUGAUUAUCCGCCGGGCUGGUGUGCGUGUUUGCCUUAUUUUUGCAUGUUUUAUGAAUUCGGCUGAAUGAAAGCAGCUGCGGAGUUUUGGAGGGAAGCUGCAAUCGUCACGACGACAGAUUGAGCUGCAGGGCUGCGGCGGGAAAAAAGCCGCGUUAAAAGUGAACCGCUUUCAAACGCUUUACUGAUAAUGACGAGUCCCCAUUUGGACUGUACGUUCACACACGAUUAAUAUUUCACUUUCAAAUAGAGAUAAUGGAGCGCGAGCUCAUUCAAGAGGCAAAGAACAAUGAAAACAGCAGCGCAAAGACUCGUACGGCAAUUACACGAAUGAUGGUCUUGAAGAGAGAGACAAAACUACCAUGGCAAUCAGAGAUGUACUUCAACUCAUCCACCUUCCGUCAGUACUUCCAAGAAAGCCUGGUCAAUACCCCCGUCUAGAUACCUCAAUGCCCAGAACCAUUGAUCCUAAAUGUCCAAUCAGCACGAGGCGCCGGCUGUCCGACAGGUGAUGAAUGAGUCUCCGGUGCAGCUCUGACUGAACCAGUGACAGAGUUGCUUUUUUAGACAAAUGACUCUGAUCUACAGCACAAACUGAGGCUGAAUUAAACCUGUAAUAGGAAUGAAGACGGGAUCCUGCAAUCAAACACAAAAGUGAAGUUGCACACGGCCCAGGCCAGGUAGUACGUGGACAUGCGGGGCGUCCUGGAGAAAUGGUUGGUCACCCAUCCGUCCUCGUCAGACGUUGAAGCCUCCACUGGCAUGUUGGACAGCG